rnacentral:rRNA from 1 species
GAUGAACGCUGGCGGCGUGCCUAACACAUGCAAGUCGAGCGAUCUUCUUCGGGAGAGAGCGGCGGACGGGUGAGUAACGCGUGGGUAACCUGCCUCAUACACAUGGAUAACAUACCGAAAGGUAUGCUAAUACAAGAUGAUAUAAGAGAUUCGCAUGGAUUUCUUAUCAAAGCUUUUGCGGUAUGAGAUGGACCCGCGUCUGAUUAGCUAGUUGGUAAGGUAAUGGCUUACCAAGGCGACGAUCAGUAGCAGACCUGGGAGGGUGAUCGGCCACAUUGGAACUGAGACACGGUCCAAACUCCUACGGGAGGCAGCAGUGGGGAAUAUUGCACAAUGGGCGAAAGCCUGAUGCAGCAACGCCGCGUGAGCGAUGAAGGCCUUCGGGUCGUAAAGCUCUGUCCUCAAGGAAGAUAAUGACGGUACUUGAGGAGGAAGCCCCGGCUAACUACGUGCCAGCCGCCGCUGUAAUAC